rnacentral:rRNA from 1 species
UACGUAGGGUGCGAGCGUUAAUCGGAAUUACUGGGCGUAAAGCGUGCGCAGGCGGCUUUGCAAGACAGAUGUGAAAUCCCCGGGCUCAACCUGGGAACUGCAUUUGUGACUGCAAGGCUAGAGUACGGCAGAGGGGGAUGGAAUUCCGCGUGUAGCAGUGAAAUGCGUAGAUAUGCGGAGGAACACCAAUGGCGAAGGCAAUCCCCUGGGCCUGUACUGACACUCAUGCACGAAAGCGUGGGGAGCAAACAGG